rnacentral:rRNA from 1 species
AACGGCCAUACCAUGCUGAAUAUACCGGUUCUCGUUAAAUCACCGAAGUCAAGCAUCAUUGGGCGCGGUCAGUACUUGGGUGGGUGACCACCUGGGAACACUGCGUGCCGUU